CAGUAGCCGCGGGAAUACAGAGGGUGCAAGCGUUAAUCGGAAUUACUGGGCGUAAAGCGCGCGUAGGUGGUGGUUUAAGUCCGUUGUGAAAGCCCUGGGCUCAACCUGGGAAUUGCAGUGGAUACUGGGUCACUAGAGUGUGGUAGAGGAUAGUGGAAUUUCCGGUGUAGCAGUGAAAUGCGUAGAGAUCGGAAGGAACAUCUGUGGCGAAGGCGACUAUCUGGGCCAACACUGACACUGAGGCACGAAAGCGUGGGGAGCAAACAGGAUUAGAUACCCCAGUAGUCCCUGUCUCUUAUAC
rnacentral:rRNA from 1 species